rnacentral:rRNA from 1 species
AUGCUUUACACAUGCAAGUCGAACGGUAACAGGUCUUCGGAUGCUGACGAGUGGCGAACGGGUGAGUAAUACAUCGGAACGUGCCUAGUAGUGGGGGAUAACUACUCGAAAGAGUAGCUAAUACCGCAUGAGAUCUACGGAUGAAAGCAGGGGACCUUCGGGCCUUGUGCUACUAGAGCGGCUGAUGGCAGAUUAGGUAGUUGGUGGGGUAAAGGCUUACCAAGCCUGCGAUCUGUAGCUGGUCUGAGAGGACGACCAGCCACACUGGGACUGAGACACGGCCCAGACUCCUACGGGAGGCAGCAGUGGGGAAUUUUGGACAAUGGGCGAAAGCCUGAUCCAGCAAUGCCGCGUGCAGGAUGAAGGCCCUCGGGUUGUAAACUGCUUUUGUACGGAACGAAAAGCCUGGGGCUAAUACCCCCGGGUCAUGACGGUACCGUAAGAAUAAGCACCGGCUAACUACGUGCCAGCAGCCGCGGUAAUACGUAGGGUGCAAGCGUUAAUCGGAAUUACUGGGCGUAAAGCGUGCGCAGGCGGUUUUGUAAGACAGUGGUGAAAUCCCCGGGCUCAACCUGGGAACUGCCAUUGUGACUGCAAGGCUAGAGUGCGGCAGAGGGGGAUGGAAUUCCGCGUGUAGCAGUGAAAUGCGUAGAUAUGCGGAGGAACACCGAUGGCGAAGGC